ensembl:lncRNA novel transcript
CCAAGCGGGCGCGAAGAGGGACUGGACCAGCGGGUUGGCGGGCGGAGGGCGGAGGCGCGGCGUGCCGCGGGAGCGCGCGCGCCUCGCCAGCUUUCAGGGGAAGAGGGCCUUUGCCGCCGUUCGCGUCAGGGCGAGUUCCGGGACGUCAGUGCGGUCUCCGCCAAUGUAUGGAUUUGACAAUGCCUUUGAUUGACCUCGCAGCUGCUCAUCACACAAAA